rnacentral:rRNA from 1 species
UGGCAACAUUGGGGAAUACCUAGUGGCGAACGGGUGAGUAACACGUGAGGAACCUGCCCCGAAGACCGGGAUAACGCUCCGAAAGGAACGCUAAUACCGGAUACCUUCACCUGAUCGCAUGAUCGGGUGAAGAAAUGGAUUCCGCUUCGGGAGGGUCUCGCGGCCUAUCAGCUUGUUGGUGGGGUAAUGGCCCACCAAGGCUUCGACGGGUAGCUGGUCUGAGAGGACGAUCAGCCACACUGGGACUGAGACACGGCCCAGACUCCUACGGGAGGCAGCAGUGGGGAAUCUUGCGCAAUGGGCGAAAGCCUGACGCAGCAACGCCGCGUGGGGGAUGAAGGCUCUCGGGUCGUAAACCCCUUUCAGCAGGGACGAAACUGACGGUACCUGCAGAAGAAGCCCCGGCCAACUACGUGCCAGCAGCCGCGGUAACACGUAGGGGGCAAGCGUUGUCCGGAUUUAUUGGGCGUAAAGGGUCUGUAGGUGGCUUACUAAGUCAGACGUGAAAUCCCUCAGCUUAACUGGGGAACUGCGUCUGAUACUGGAAAGCUUGAGUGCAGGAGAGGAACGCGGAAUUCCAGGUGUAGCGGUGAAAUGCGUAGAUAUCUGGAGGAACACCGGUGGCGAAGGCGGCGUUCUGGACUGCAACUGACA